AGAGUUUGAUCCUGGCUCAGGACGAACGCUGGCGGCGUGCUUAACACAUGCAAGUCGAACGAGAAUCACUGGAAGGAGUUUUCGGACAACGGAAGGUGAGGACAGUGGCGGACGGGUGAGUAACGCGUGAGGAACCUGCCUUUCAGAGGGGGACAACAGUUGGAAACGACUGCUAAUACCGCAUGACACAUAGAGAUCGCAUGGUUUUUAUGUCAAAGAUUUAUCGCUGAAAGAUGGCCUCGCGUCUGAUUAGCUAGUUGGUGAGGUAACGGCCCACCAAGGCGACGAUCAGUAGCCGGACUGAGAGGUUGACCGGCCACAUUGGGACUGAGAUACGGCCCAGACUCCUACGGGAGGCAGCAGUGGGGAAUAUUGGGCAAUGGGCGCAAGCCUGACCCAGCAACGCCGCGUGAAGGAAGAAGGCUUUCGGGUUGUAAACUUCUUUUGUCGGGGACGAGUAGAAGACGGUACCUGGCGAAUAAGCCACGGCUAACUACGUGCCAGCAGCCGCGGUAAUACGUAGGUGGCAAGCGUUGUCCGGAUUUACUGGGUGUAAAGGGCGUGUAGGCGGAGAUGCAAGUUGGGAGUGAAAUCCAUGGGCUCAACCCAUGAACUGCUCUCAAAACUGUAUCCCUUGAGUAUCGGAGAGGCAAGCGGAAUUCCUAGUGUAGCGGUGAAAUGCGUAGAUAUUAGGAGGAACACCAGUGGCGAAGGCGGCUUGCUGGACGACAACUGACGCUGAGGCGCGAAAGCGUGGGGAGCAAACAGGAUUAGAUACCCUGGUAGUCCACGCUGUAAACGAUGAAUACUAGGUGUGCGGGGACUGACCCCCUGCGUGCCGCAGUUAACACAAUAAGUAUUCCACCUGGGGAGUACGAUCGCAAGGUUGAAACUCAAAGGAAUUGACGGGGGCCCGCACAAGCGGUGGAUUAUGUGGUUUAAUUCGACGCAACGCGAAGAACCUUACCAGGGCUUGACAUCCUACUAACGAAGUAGAGAUACAUCAGGUGCCCUUCGGGGAAAGUAGAGACAGGUGGUGCAUGGUUGUCGUCAGCUCGUGUCGUGAGAUGUUGGGUUAAGU
rnacentral:rRNA from 1 species